rnacentral:rRNA from 1 species
GACGAGCCACACAACCGUUAUUCGGAAUUACUGGGCUUAAAGGGUGCGUAGGCGGCGCGGUAAGUCGGGUGUGAAAUCUCGGAGCUUAACUCCGAAACUGCAUUCGAUACUGCCGUGCUUGAGGACUGGAGAGGAGACUGGAAUUUACGGUGUAGCGGUGAAAUGCGUAGAUAUCGUAAGGAAGACCAGUGGCGAAGGCGGGUCUCUGGACAGUUCCUGACGCUGAGGCACGAAGGUCAGGGGAGCAAACGGG